AUUUUUCUACUUUCAGGGACCAUCUCUACAGCUGGCCACUAGGGGUGUUUCUCUGAAUGUGCAGAGCACCAGAGCCCUGAGGACGAGGUCGCUGUCUCUCCCAUGGAUUUUCAGCAACUGCCAUUUGUCAUUGAUCGUUCUUCUUCAGAAGCAUUGGGGGAGGGGAGACGGGUGGG
rnacentral:snoRNA from 1 species